rnacentral:lncRNA from 1 species
CCAUAUCAAGCAUAUCAUAAGUUACUGAAAAAUAUGAAAGAUAUGCAAUAGAUCAUUUUCUAUUUUUCAGAAGAUCAAAAGGAGUUUUCAUCAAAAAUAGAUCUAAUAGAAAUCAUAUGUAUGACAAGCAGUGAUGAUAGCUUAAAAAAAUAUUUAAGUAGAUGACUAUCAUACACAAUUAUCUUUUUCAUUUCUUCAAGAAUUCUAUUAAUCCUAUUUUACUUAUGGUAUCCUUGGUGCUGACAUAAUUAAUUUCUGUAUGAACUUUAUCAGGAUUUUGGUUUUCAACACUGUGCCAUGAUACUCUUUAUCUUCAUAGUUUGGAAACCUUUAUCAUUUGAAACACUUUUACAAGAUUUAGCAAAUACAGAAAAUAUUUUAAUUUUAUUUGCCAAGAACAAAUCCAAUGUAAGCUUUUGAAAACUUAGUGAUGGAAACAACAUCUUUAGAUUUAGAAAUUGAUUUUCGUUUGUUUCCUGAGUUAGCAUGCAUAGCAAACUUUGACCUUUCAGAAAAUAAUCUAAGUAAGCCAAUGGCAAGGUCUUUUGAGAUUAAGUACAUACUAGCAUGAGUUGAUUUUAUAUGUCAAACAUGGUUUCUUUAAUCAUGAUAUUCAUAGUGCAAUAUUCAAAGGCAUACCAAGUACACAUUUUCAUAUCUAUGAUCAAUAAACAAUAAUGCCAUGGAUAAAAGCUCUCAAUCAAGCAUAUAGAGAAUUCAUAGAGUUAUUCUUAAUAAAUUGAUUAAUCAUUUAGCAACUUAUCCAAUAGUGAGUAAAGUAUAC